rnacentral:rRNA from 1 species
GAUGAACGCUGGCGGCGUGCCUAAUACAUGCAAGUCGAGCGAACGGACGAGAAGCUUGCUUCUCUGAUGUUAGCGGCGGACGGGUGAGUAACACGUGGAUAACCUACCUAUAAGACUGGGAUAACUUCGGGAAACCGGAGCUAAUACCGGAUGAUAUUUUGAACCGCAUGGUUCAAAAGUGAAAGACGGUCUUGCUGUCACUUAUAGAUGGAUCCGCGCUGCAUUAGCUAGUUGGUAAGGUAACGGCUUACCAAGGCAACGAUGCAUAGCCGACCUGAGAGGGUGAUCGGCCACACUGGAACUGAGACACGGUCCAGACUCCUACGGGAGGCAGCAGUAGGGAAUCUUCCGCAAUGGGCGAAAGCCUGACGGAGCAACGCCGCGUGAGUGAUGAAGGUCUUCGGAUCGUAAAACUCUGUUAUUAGGUAAGAACAUAUGUGUAAGUAACUGUGCACAUCUUGACGGUACCUAAUCAGAAAGCCACGGCUAACUACGU